GAGAUCCCGCUGUCACUUGGGGACCGGGGGCCACCAGGGGCUCCACUCUGGCGAGGGCGCGGCCUGGACGCCCAGAAGGACUACGAUAAGGAACCCAUUACGCUUUAGGGUACGGUCCUUCGCAGACCCUAAGCAGGUCUGGCUCUGAAGAGGAUUCGAGGAGUCUGCAGCUUACUCGGCAGUUUUUUUUCUCUAAGGGAGCAAAACUUAAUUCUCUGGGGCUGGCGAAAAAAAAGAAGAAAUCACACACAGAGUUGUUUGAUGAAGAAAGAAUCCAACAACGUUAUAUUUUUUCUUAAGACUCUUUAUACCACCUAAGAAAAAAAUUCUCUACGAAAGAGAGCCACAAGUUAUAUAUUCUCCAAAACCAACUACCACAAAUACAUGUUCUUCAAAAGAUUAAAAUCAUUACACAAAAGAAAAUUACAACAUGACUAUUGAUUAAAUGUUAUUUUUUUGACACCCACACUUAACAUCCCAUCUUUCUUUCCACAAAUCAUCCUAACCCAAACCAAUAAUUCUUUUGUCAUUGAUCAACAAAGUUCAAGCAAGCCAAGUCUAUAGUAGCUAGGUUUUCCAUGUGCUAGCUAGUUUAUAUUUACCAAGAAAUAAAUCAUUUAUUAUAUGUC
rnacentral:lncRNA from 1 species